CCUACGGGAGGCAGCAGUGGGGAAUAUUGGGCAAUGGGCGCAAGCCUGACCCAGCAACGCCGCGUGAAGGAAGAAGGCUUUCGGGUUGUAAACUUCUUUUGACAGGGAAGAGCAGAAGACGGUACCUGUCGAAUAAGCCACGGCUAACUACGUGCCAGCAGCCGCGGUAAUACGUAGGUGGCAAGCGUUGUACGGAUUUACUGGUUGGAAAGGGCGUGUAGCCGGGCUGACAAGUCAGAUGUGAAAUCCGGGGGCUCAACCCCCGAACUGCAUUUGAAACUGUUGGUCUUGAGUAUCGGAGAGGCAGGCGGAAUUCCUAGUGUAGCGGUGAAAUGCGUAGAUAUUAGGAGGAACACCAGUGGCGAAGGCGGCCUGCUGGACGACAACUGACGGUGAGGCGCGAAAGCGUGGGGAGCAAACAGGAUUAGAUACCCUAGUAGUC
rnacentral:rRNA from 1 species